CAAAAGGCGAAUAUGGCCUUCCGAUGGGUCCGCAACAACAGCAGACGCCGGAUUCUGGAAUUGGUGGCGAUGAGAGUUUUCACACAGAUAACCUACCUCAUAGUGGCCUGAAUCAUGGCAGAUGAAGAAGAGCUGUGUGACUCAGUUUCAGAUAUUGAUACUCUCCUGGGUGAAUAUUUCGAGCAUAUGCAGGAAGGCCCUCAGCUACCACCCGACCUGGCUAACAAGAUAGAUGUUCCAAUAACCUAUGGACUGUAUACCAAAGCAUUACUGAGGCUGGAGACAAGAGGAAUCAACAUUCAGAACAAUUUGCC